rnacentral:rRNA from 1 species
AACGUAGGUGGCGAGCGUUAUCCGGAUUCAUUGGGCGUAAAGAGCUUGUAGGUGGCGGCGUAAGUUGGACGUGAAAUCGCCCGGCUCAACCGGGCGGGGUCGUUUCAAUACUGCGCGGCUGGAGGAGGUCAGAGGGAAGUGGAAUUCCUGGUGUAGCAGUGAAAUGCGUAGAUAUCAGGAGGAACACCCGUGGCGAAGGCGGCUUCCUGGGGCCAUCCUGACACUGAGAAGCGAAAGCUAGGGGGAGCGAAACGGGG